rnacentral:rRNA from 1 species
AUAAAGUAGCAAUACUUUGGUGGCGGCCGGCGCACGGGUGAGUAACGCGUAUGCAACCUCACUUAUCAGAGGGGAAUAACCCGGCGAAAGUCGGACUAAUACCGCAUAAAACAGGGACACCGCAUGGUGAUAUUUGUUAAAGAAAUUCGCUGAUAGAUGGGCAUGCGUUCCAUUAGGUAGUUGGUGAGGUAACGGCUCACCAAGCCGACGAUGGAUAGGGGAACUGAGAGGUUGGUCCCCCACACUGGUACUGAGACACGGACCAGACUCCUACGGGAGGCAGCAGUGAGGAAUAUUGGUCAAUGGGCGAGAGCCUGAACCAGCCAAGUCGCGUGAAGGAAGAAGGAUCUAUGGUUCGUAAACUUCUUUUGCAGGGGAAUAAAGUGCAGGACGUGUCCUGUUUUGUAUGUACCCUGAGAAUAAGGAUCGGCUAACUCCGUGCCAGCAGCCGCGGUAAUACGGAGGAUCCGAGCGUUAUCCGGAUUUAUUGGGUUUAAAGGGUGCGUAGGUGGUUUGAUAAGUCAGCGGUGAAAGUUUGCAGCUUAACUGUAAAAAUGCCGUUGAAACUGUCGGACUUGAGUGUAAAUGAGGUAGGCGGAAUGCGUGGUGUAGCGGUGAAAUGCUUAGAUAUCACGAAGAACUCCGAUUG